rnacentral:rRNA from 1 species
GCUGAUAACUACGCUGUCUGAUGGAUGGCUUGGCUUGGAUGCUGAUGAAGGGCGUGGCAAGCUGCGAUAAGCCCUGGGGAGACGCACGCAGUCUUCGAUCCAGGGAUACCCGAAUAGGACUUCCUGAUGGCUUCGGCCAUCGUUCCGUAAGGAACGGGAACCCCCUGAACUGAAACAUCUUAGUAAGGGGAGGAUGAGAAACCAAUUGGGAUUUCCGGAGUAGCGGCGAGCGAAAUGGAAACAGCCUAAACUGAACACGCAAGGAAACUUGUUGUGGAUGUGGUGUAUGGAGUCGGUCUCUUCUUACUCGUUGAUGUCGAGGUGUUCUGGAAAGCUCCGCUAUAGAGGGUGAUAGCCCCGUAGGCGGUAAACGAGAAGAAUUGGACUGAACUCCGGAGUAGCGUGCCUUGAGACUGGCGCGUGAAUCUGGGAGACAUUAACUUCCAAGGCUAAAUACAAUCCAAGACCGAUAGUGCACUAGUACGGUGACGGAAAGCUGAAAAGACCCCCGAAAGGGGCGUUAAAAGCGCCUGAAAUCAGAUAGUUACAGACGUGUACGGCUCUAAAGGUUUGAUGCAUUCGAAGGAAAUUGUGGUGACACAACAUUACGAGAAUGCGGACCAGAGUUGUACGUUCCGUUUAGGAUCACGGGCCGGGGAGUUAACUUGUGUGGCAAGCCUAAGGGUUUAAAGCCCGUAAGCGUAGGGAAACCAAAAUGCAAACAGCCGUAAGGUGAGUUGCUAGGUCUUAAAGGGCCUGGAGUCACACGGGUUAGACUAGAAACCAGUUGAUCUAGCCCUGAACAAGGUGAAGUCAGGCGAAAGCCUGAUGGAGGCCUGAAGGGGUACUGAUAUGCAAUUCGUUCCUCUGAUUUGGGGCUAGGGGUAAAAGGCCAAUCUAAACUGGUGAUAGCUAGUUCCUUCCGAAGUAUGUCGCAGCAUAGCCUUAGCGGAGACUGCUGGCGGGGUAGAGCACUAAUCGGGUGGCACGGAGAGUAAAAUCUCCACCACUCUUUUAAACUCCGAAUACGCCAGCGUCGUAGAAGCUAGGAGACGGGUGGGCCGGGUUAAGCUCGGUCACCGUGAGGGGGACAACCCAGACUAAGGUUAAGGGCCCUAAGUGCUGGCUAAGUGAUAAAUCAAAGGGCGUCGCAAUCCUAAAACAGCGGGGAGGUAGGCUUAGAAGCAGCCAUCCUUUAAAGAAAUCGUAACAGAUCACCCGCCGAGGAUUGGGGCCCCGAAGAUGGACGGGUCUCAAGCCAGCCUCCGAUACCUUAGAGUUACACUUUAAGUGUAAUCCAGUAGGAAGGCGUCCUGGUUGGGUAGAAGCAAGGGUGAGAACUCUUGUGGACCGGCCAGGAUUGCAGAUCCCGGCGGUAGUAACAGCAUAGUCGGGUGAGAAUCCCGAUCGCCGAAAGAGCAAGGGUUUCCAGGCAAUGCGUCGUCAGCCUGGAGUUAGUCGAUCCUAAGGUCAACGUUAACAUGAUUGAUCGAAAGGGGAACUGGUUAAUAUUCCAGUACUUUAGUAGUACGUACGGUGACGUUAAGCCCAAUAGAUGACGCUUCGAGAUAGGUCGAGCAGAAUUGUCUUUCUGUUUAACUGUUCAAAUCUGAGGAGUACCGUAAUGGUGAGAAUUAGAUGAAUGCAGGAAUAGCCUUCCGUUUAGGAGGGUUCGAUUGAUUCUUGGAGCCCCUGAAAAGUUUAUUGGGAUGAAUCUAUUAAAAUCGUACCCAGAACCAACACUGGUGCUCAGGGUGAGAAGCCCAAGGCGUGUCGGAGACAAUCUAGGCGAGGGAAAUCGGCAAAUUAGCCCCGUAUCUUCGGUAUAAGGGGUGCCUACUGCAUUAACUGAUGUUGGUGUGGUAGGUCGCAGUGACUAGGGGGGGACGGCUGUUUAUUAAAAACAUAGGUAGCCGCUAGAGCGAAAGCUUUUGUACGGCUAUUGAAUCCUGUCCAGUGGUGGUACCUGAAUCUUGAUUUCAACCGAGGGAAGGGCCACUAAACGACGGGAGUAACUCUGACUCUCUCAAGGUAGCCAAAUGCCUUGUCGUGUAAGUUACGACGUGCUUGAAUGGAACCACGAUCUCCCCACUGUCCCCGCUUAGACUCCGGUGAACCCACAGGCUGGACGAACAGUCCAGCGACUUCCAGCGGGACAAGAAGACCCCGUGGAGCUUUACUGCAGUCUGUCGCUGAGACGUGGCCUCGCUUGCAGAGCGUAGGUAGGAGCCGAUG